UACGUAGGGUGCAAGCGUUGUCCGGAAUUAUUGGGCGUAAAGAGCUCGUAGGUGGUUCGGUAAGUCGGAUGUGAAAUCUCCAGGCUCAACCUGGAGGGGUCAUUCGAUACUGCCGUGACUAGAGGUCGGUAGGGGAGUGUGGAAUUCCUGGUGGAGCGGUGAAAUGCGCAGAUAUCAGGAGGAACACCUGUGGUGUAGACAGCUUACUGGACCACUUCUGACGCUGAGACACGAAAGCGUGGGUAGCAAACAGG
rnacentral:rRNA from 1 species